UGCGUGGGCGGCGGGGGCUAGGGUUUUGGGAUGGUUGGUGCAGCGGGGUGGAGUGGGGUGGGGUGGGGUGAGGGGGAGUUGGGAAUCCGAAGCGAGGAGGAAGGGGCGGGGAAAGAGAGGUAGGAGUACAAGCAAAGAAGAAGGGUAAUGUAAAAACGGCCAGGUAAACAGGGUGGGUGAGUGAGACUGUUAGGGUGUGUUUGGUACCGGGGACGGGACGGGACGGGGCGGGACGGUCCCAAAUUUGAUAGUGUUUGGUUCGGAGUCACGAGGGACGGGACGGUCCACAAAUGGGAAUAUGCUCCCAAGAUGCGGGAUGACCCCGUCCGGCCAAAACGAGCGGACAGAGUCAUCCCACUUCGGGCGCCGUCUGCUCCGUCCUUCUCCGUUCGCAAGACUGGCGCGGGGCUGCUUCGUCUCCGGCAGGACGGGGUCCUCCAGUGGCGCGGCCGGUGCCCAGGGUCGGCGGCCGGCAGGGACCUCCGACGGCGUGGCCUGGGACGAGCGGCCGCCGGAGCAAGCGGGUCCAGCCGGCGGGGCGAGCACCCCGGCGCCGCGGCCGGUGCCCACGGCCAGCAGGCCCCUCCGGCGGCGCAUCCUGGGGCGAGCGGGUACCUCCGGCGGCGCGGCCUGGGGCGAGCGGGGGCGGCGCGGUUGGGACCUCCGGCGGGGGCGAGCGGGGGCGGCGCGGCCGGGGCGACAGGGACCUCCGGCGGGGGCGAGCGGGGGCGGCGCGGAGCUCCGGCGGGCGAGCAGGGGCCGUGCAGCCUGGGCCUUCGGGAGCUCUAGCGGGUUGGAGAAGAUAAGGAUGAGGAGAAAAAAAAAAGAAAAGAAGAUGACAUGUGGGCCCAUAUAUGACAUGUGGGUCCCACUAAACACAUGUAGCUAACGGUGUUACCCGAGCCAUCCGUCCCUCGUUUUCAAUCCAUCGUACCAAACAAAAAACUGGGAUGAAUUCAUCCCUCUCAACCAAACAUAAGACGGGAUGAUCCCAUCCCAAAAAAUAGGAACGGCACCGUCCCAUCCCUUCUUGUCUCCAAACCAAACGCACCCUUAGAGCCUGAGAGUGAGAGGGGUGAAAGGAAAAAAAAAAGUGGAAACAGAAGGUCUCGGCAAGCAAAGCGGAGGUAGAGAGCCAGAGUGGGGCGUUGGAGCCGAGAGCGGUGGUGGGGCUGUGCCCUGUGGAGUUCGAGGCGCGGGGAGGAAUAAAAAUGGGAGCGGCGCCGAGCAAGUUGGGGGCAUCAAGGGGGGGAGCGCCAGCGGGCGUGGUGGACCUCGGAGAGUGAGAGGCGCGGGCCGAUGAUGCCCGAGCUCGGCGGAGCCCGGUCCACAUGUGGACUGAGAUCUGGCGAAAUCUGGUGGCGGUGGCGAGAGAGAGAGAGAGAAGCGGAGCGUGGGAUUCAGCGGUGGCGGUCACCGGUCAGGUGUGGAUAGAGGUGGCCGGGCCGGGAGGUGUGGACCGGGGGUCGAGGGAUACCGUGCACGCGCCCGCGCCCGCGCUCUGCUGCUGCGGGUCGAUGGGGAUUUUGGAUUUGG
rnacentral:lncRNA from 1 species